GUGUGGGUCCUGUGCGACGGGGCACCGUGAAUCAUGUCAGGCGGGGAACCGAGCAGCAUUAAGCGGAACGCACUGUGCGCCGCAGUCCGCCUGCCCGCC
rnacentral:SRP_RNA from 1 species